rnacentral:rRNA from 1 species
AUGAACGCUGGCGGCGUGCCUAAUACAUGCAAGUCGAGCGAACGGACGAGAAGCUUGCUUCUCUGAUGUUAGCGGCGGACGGGUGAGUAACACGUGGAUAACCUACCUAUAAGACUGGGAUAACUUCGGGAAACCGGAGCUAAAACCGGAUAAUAUUUUAAACCGAUUGGUUCAAAGGUAAAAGACGGUCUUGCUGUCACUAAAAGAUGGAUCCGCGCUGCAUUAGCUAGUUGGUAAGGUAACGGCUUACCAAGGCAACGAUGCAUAGCCGACCUGAGAGGGUGAUCGGCCACACUGGAACUGAGACACGGUCCAGACUCCUACGGGAGGCAGCAGUAGGGAAUCUUCCGCAAUGGGCGAAAGCCUGACGGAGCAACGCCGCGUGAGUGAUGAAGGUCUUCGGAUCGUAAAACUCUGUUAUUAGGGAAGAACAUAUGUGUAAGUAACUGUGCACAUCUUGACGGUACCUAAUCAGAAAGCCACGGCUAACUACGUG